rnacentral:rRNA from 1 species
GACGAACGCUGGCGGCGUGCUUAACACAUGCAAGUCGAACGGAAAGGCCCUGCUUUUGUGGGGUGCUCGAGUGGCGAACGGGUGAGUAACACGUGAGUAACCUGCCCUUGACUUUGGGAUAACUUCAGGAAACUGGGGCUAAUACCGGAUAGGAGCUCCUGCUGCAUGGUGGGGGUUGGAAAGUUUCGGCGGUUGGGGAUGGACUCGCGGCUUAUCAGCUCGUUGGUGGGGUAGUGGCUUACCAAGACUUUGACGGGUAGCCGGCCUGAGAGGGUGACCGGCCACAUUGGGACUGAGAUACGGCCCAGACUCCUACGGGAGGCAGCAGUGGGGAAUAUUGCACAAUGGGCGGAAGCCUGAUGCAGCAACGCCGCGUGCGGGAUGACGGCCUUCGGGUUGUAAACCGCUUUCGCCUGUGACGAAGCGUGAGUGACGGUAAUGGGUAAAGAAGCACCGGCUAACUACGUG